GUUGGCUUAGAAGCAGCCAUCAUUUAAAGAAAGCGUAACAGCUCACUGGUCAAGCGCUCCUGCGCGGAAAAUGUAACGGGGCUUAAGUGAUACACCGAAGCUGCGGACUCGAAAGAGUGGUAGCGGAGCGUUCUGUAAGUCUGUGAAGGUGGCCUGCGAGGGCUGCUGGAGAUAUCAGAAGUGAGAAUGCUGACAUGAGUAGCGAUAAAGAGGGUGAGAGGCCCUCUCGCCGAAAGUCCAAGGGUUCCUGCGCAAUGCUAAUCAGCGCAGGGUAAGCCGGCCCCUAAGGCGAGGCCGAAAGGCGUAGUCGAUGGGAACCAGGUUAAUAUUCCUGGGCCAGCGGGUAGUGACGGAUUGCGGACGUUGUACACUCUUACUGGAUUGAGUGUGCAGCCAAGCCGUCCCUGGAAAUAGCUCCCGCAUUAGACCGUACCCCAAACCGACACAGGUGGACUGGUAGAGCAUACCAAGGCGCUUGAGAGAACUCUGUUGAAGGAACUCGGCAAAUUACUCCCGUAAGUUCGCGAGAAGGGAGCCUGGCAUCAGGCAACUGGUGUCCAGGGGCACAGACCAGGGGGUGGCGACUGUUUAUUAAAAACACAGGGCUCUGCGAAGUCGCAAGACGACGUAUAGGGUCUGACGCCUGCCCGGUGCCGGAAGGUUAAAAGGAGGGGUGAGAGCUCCGAAUUGAAGCCCCGGUAAACGGCGGCCGUAACAAUAACGGUCCUAAGGUAGCGAAAU
rnacentral:rRNA from 12 species